rnacentral:rRNA from 1 species
AUUGAACGCUGGCGGCAGGCCUAACACAUGCAAGUCGAGCGAGCGGCGGACGGGUGAGUAAUGUCUGGGGAACUGCCUGAUGGAGGGGGAUAACUACUGGAAACGGUGGCUAAUACCGCAUACCAUCGGAUGUACCCAUAUGGGAUUAGCUAGUAGGUGGGGUAAAGGCUCACCUAGGCGACGAUCCCUAGCUGGUCUGAGAGGAUGGCCAGCCGCACUGGAACUGAGACACGGUCCAGACUCCUACGGGAGGCAGCAGUGGGGAAUAUUGCACAAUGGGCGCAAGCCUGAUGCAGCCAUGCCGCGUGUAUGAAGAAGGCCUUCGGGUUGUAAAGUACUUUCAGCGGGGAGGCGUUACCCGCAGAAGAAGCACCGGCUAACUCCGUGCCAGCAGCCGCGGUAAUAC